GACGAACGCUGGCAGCGUGCUUAACACAUGCAAGUCGAGCGGUAAGGCCCUUUCGGGGGUACACGAGCGGCGAACGGGUGAGUAACACGUGGGUGACCUGCCCUCAGCUCUGGGAUAAGCCUGGGAAACUGGGUCUAAUACCGGAUAUGACUCCAUGACGCAUGUUGUGGGGUGGAAAGCCUUGUGCGGCUGAGGAUGGGCCCGCGGCCUAUCAGCUUGUUGGUGGGGUGAUGGCCUACCAAGGCGACGACGGGUAGCCGGCCUGAGAGGGCGACCGGCCACACUGGGACUGAGACACGGCCCAGACUCCUACGGGAGGCAGCAGUGGGGAAUCUUGCGCAAUGGGCGAAAGCCUGACGCAGCGACGCCGCGUGAGGGAUGACGGCCUCGG
rnacentral:rRNA from 1 species